rnacentral:rRNA from 1 species
UACGGAGGGUCCGAGCGUUAAUCGGAAUUACUGGGCGUAAAGCGUGCGCAGGCGGUUUGUUAAGCGAGAUGUGAAAGCCCCGGGCUCAACCUGGGAAUUGCAUUUCGAACUGGCGAACUAGAGUCUUGUAGAGGGGGUAGAAUUCCAGGUGUAGCGGUGAAAUGCGUAGAGAUCUGGAGGAAUACCGGUGGCGAAGGCGGCCCCCUGGACAAAGACUGACGCUCAGGCACGAAAGCGUGGGGAGCAAACAGG